rnacentral:rRNA from 1 species
GACUGAGUGGCGGACGGGUGAGUAACGCGUGGGUAACCUGCCUUGUACUGGGGGAUAGCAGCUGGAAACGGCUGGUAAUACCGCAUAAGCGCACAAUGUUGCAUGACAUGGUGUGAAAAACUCCGGUGGUAUAAGAUGGACCCGCGUCUGAUUAGCUAGUUGGUGAGAUAACAGCCCACCAAGGCGACGAUCAGUAGCCGACCUGAGAGGGUGACCGGCCACAUUGGGACUGAGACACGGCCCAGACUCCUACGGGAGGCAGCAGUGGGGAAUAUUGCACAAUGGAGGAAACUCUGAUGCAGCGACGCCGCGUGAGUGAAGAAGUAAUUCGUUAUGUAAAGCUCUAUCAGCAGGGAAGAUAG